rnacentral:tRNA from 1 species
GGGCGCGUAGCUCAGGGGGAGAGCGCUUGCUUCACAAGCAAGAGGUCCGAGGUUCAAAUCCUCGCGCGCCCA